rnacentral:rRNA from 1 species
GGUGUAGGUGGUUUUUCAAGUCAGAUGUGAAAUUUCCCGGCUCAACUGGGAAGGGUCAUUUGAUACUGUUAGACUGGAGGGCAGCAGAGGGAGAUGGAAUUCCCGGUGUAGUGGUGAAAUGCGUAGAUAUCGGGAGGAACACCAGUGGCGAAAGCGGUCUCCUGGGCUGUUCCUGACACUGAGGCCCAAAAGCGUGGGGAGCAAACAGGAUUAGAUACCCUGGUAGUCCACGCCUUAAACGAUGGAUACUAGGUAUGGGGGGUAUCGACCCCCUCCGUGCCAAAGUUAACACCUUAAGUAUCCCGCCUGGGGAGUACGGUCGCAAGACUAAA